ACCGGCGCACGGGUGAGUAACACGUAUCCAACCUGCCGAUGACUCGGGGAUAGCCUUUCGAAAGAAAGAUUAAUACCCGAUGGCAUAGUUCUUCCGCAUGGUAGAACUAUUAAAGAAUUUCGGUCAUCGAUGGGGAUGCGUUCCAUUAGCUUGUUGGCGGGGUAACGGCCCACCAAGGCAUCGAUGGAUAGGGGUUCUGAGAGGAAGGUCCCCCACAUUGGAACUGAGACACGGUCCAAACUCCUACGGGAGGCAGCAGUGAGGAAUAUUGGUCAAUGGGCGCUAGCCUGAACCAGCCAAGUAGCGUGAAGGAUGACUGCCCUAUGGGUUGUAAACUUCUUUUAUAUGGGAAUAAAGUGCGGUAUGUAUACUGCUUUGCAUGUACCUUAUGAAUAAGGAUCGGCUAACUCCGUGCCAGCAGCCGCGGUAAUACGGAGGAUCCGAGCGUUAUCCGGAUUUAUUGGGUUUAAAGGGAGCGUAGGCGGGUUGUUAAGUCAGUUGUGAAAGUUUGCGGCUCAACCGUAAAAUUGCAGUUGAUACUGGCAUCCUUGAGUACAGUAGAGGUAGGCGGAAUUCGUGGUGUAGCGGUGAAAUGCUUAGAUAUCACGAAGAACUCCGAUUGCGAAGGCAGCCUGCUGGACUGUAACUGACGCUGAUGCUCGAAAGUGUGGGUAUCAAACAGGAUUAGAUACCCUGGUA
rnacentral:rRNA from 1 species